rnacentral:rRNA from 1 species
CCUACGGGUGGCAGCAGUGGGGAAUAUUGCACAAUGGGGGAAACCUGAUGCAGCGACGCCGCGGGAGUUGAGAAGUUUUUCGGUAUGUUAAGCUUUAUUCGCCGGGGAGAAAAUGACGGUACCUGACUAAGAAGCCCCGGCUAACUACCUGCCAGCCGCCGCGGUUAUUCGUAGGGGGCCAGGGUUAUCCGGAUUUACUGGGUGUAAAGGGAACGUUGACGGCACAGCAAGUCUGAAGUGAAAGCCCGCGGCCCAACUGCGGGACUGCUUUGGAAACUGCCCGGCUAGAGGGCUGGAGAGGUAAGCGGAAUUCCUAGUGUAGCGGUGAAAUGCGUAGAUAUUAGGAGGAACACCAGUGGCGAAGGCGGCUUACUGGACAGUAACUGACGUUGAGGCUCGAAAGCGUGGGGAGCAAACAGGAUUAGAUACCCUGGUAGUC